GACGAACGCUGGCGGCGUGCCUAAUACAUGCAAGUCGAACGAGAGCGACCGGUGCUUGCACUGGUCAAUCUAGUGGCGAACGGGUGAGUAACACGUGGGUAACCUGCUCAUCAGAGGGGGAUAACAUCCGGAAACGGAUGCUAACACCGCAUAGGUCUUCGAGCCGCAUGGCUUGAAGAGGAAAAGAGGCGCAAGCUUCUGCUGAUGGAUGGACCCGCGGUGCAUUAGCUAGUUGGUGAGGUAACGGCUCACCAAGGCCGUGAUGCAUAGCCGACCUGAGAGGGUGAUCGGCCACAUUGGGACUGAGACACGGCCCAAACUCCUACGGGAGGCAGCAGUAGGGAAUCUUCCGCAAUGGACGCAAGUCUGACGGAGCAACGCCGCGUGAGUGAAGAAGGUGUUCGGAUCGUAAAACUCUGUUGUUAGAGAAGAACAAGUGCUAGAGUAACUGUUAGCGCCUUGACGGUAUCUAACCAGAAAGCCACGGCUAACUACGUG
rnacentral:rRNA from 1 species